rfam:Salmo salar isolate Sally breed double haploid chromosome ssa08, whole genome shotgun sequence.
UGUAUGCCUGUAUGUAAGUCGCUCUGGAUAAGAGUGUCUGCUAAAUGACUUAAA